GCCAAUCUGAUAUUCCUCCUUACUAUUCAUAUGGAUGUGUGGUAGCCUCAUUAUCUGAUAUUAAUCAUGAAUCAGUAAUGUCCCUGACAUUUCCAGAGAACGGUCAAGAUCCCUCCUGCCUUCUGCCCCCUCACCCAUCAUAACACACCUGCCUGCCUCACCCUCUUCUGCUUCUCUGCUCGGCUGGUAAACUCCUUCACAGAGUCCACACCACAGUCAGCUUACCUGUCCCGUGAUCAUAAUCAUCCCCAGGAGCUGUCCAAGUCAGAUUGAUGAGAUUGCCCCCCUGGAUUUUCGCCUUCAGGCUGACACUUCCGGAGACAGAAACAAAAAGCUGGAGAAAACUGACUUGACUGAAUGAAUUAGAAGUCAUUCCUGAGCAGAGCAUCUUCUUCUGAUAAAGUGUGACUUUUCAAGAAAAUAAACAUUUUAUUCUUUCAUUAAAUAAA